rnacentral:lncRNA from 1 species
AGGUGUCCGCACGCAUCUGCUCCCUGGCACCCUCUCGAGGAGCCCCUGAGGAUUCGUGCCUCCCAGAGGUGGGGAAAGCCCGCCCGAGGCUUCGGUGCUGACGGUGGCGGGGCUGCCGGGCACGCUGUGGAACCGCCUCCCGCUAGAGCUGUGGGCUGGUGACGGUCCCGCGGGGGCGGGAAGCGGCUCAGGCUGCCCUCCUGGCCUGCGGCAGUGCGUCUGGGAGCGCGGGCCACUCGUGCGCGGGUCACUCGGGGCUGUGCCUCGCGCGACUGUGUGUGCAGGAAACAAGCAGGAAAUACCCUAAAAUGGAAUGAAGCGCCAUGUUGAGGGCCGCGGACGUCGCGAGUGCUGUGGGAAUGUGGGCCAAGGUGGAGAGUUAUGGUGGCGCGUGUUACAGGGUCAGGAGUCAGGAAGAAGCCUAAUCAUGGAGCCGGCAUCUGAGGAGGGUCUUGAACGCUGGGCAGGCUUUUGCCCAAUAGAGAUGGAGGAAGCUAGUCCUGUCUGAUGGAGGAAACAGGGCAGAGGCGUGGAGGGAGACGCGCAGUGCUGGUGUGAGGAGCCGCGAGCAGGCCAGGCCUGUAAAUCAGCGUGAUGGGAACCAGGAUAGAGAAGAUACUGCAUAGUGGAUGGAUUAGUUUGUGGUUCCUGGGAUCUUCUGUGUAUUCUGUUGAAGCUCAAUAAUCACAUUACUGCGGACCUCCAAAAUUUUACAAAGGACUGCACAGUGAGUAUUCAGCCGAUAAACUAAACCACAGCUUAAUACUGUGAGAUGAAAAAAAGUACACCAAUUAAAAGUAAACACUGUUUAAACCUACCUCAAUGAAUUUCUAAAGUGUCAUACAUUUAUUAUAUUCUCUACUUGUACAAUAUUUUGUUGUGUGUAUUGCCAAGUAUUUCAGGAUUUUAUGGGUAUAAUGUAUUCUAUUAAUUUAACUGGAAAACUUGUAGUUAUUCAACAAGCAAACUAAAAGUGUUGGCAGAGAUGUAAUUUUAAAGCACAAUCCCACUCAUUCCUUCAGUAUUACAGCUGCUCCUUGUUUGUUUAAUAAUAGAACUGAUGAGUAGUUAAUUUGAGAGGAAAGCUGGUGCAGGUGUAGUGCUAUUUGGAUGUCAUGGAGGACACAUGUGACAUCUGCAGCUAGCUAUAUGGUAAAAGCAAAACAGAAGUUAAAAUCAGCCCUGUGUCAAAUCUGCAUAGUUUUAGGCUUCAGGGAGUGUCUCUGUAUGUUGAGGCAGGAAGUUUAGUAGAAUUCCAAGGAAGUAAGAGAGGAACAAACAUUUGUAGAUUUUGCCUUCUAUGGGGGAACUCAUUCAAUCAUCAGGAGAACUCUUCAAUAAGCUUUAUUUGCUACGGUUUACCUAGAUGAAAAAUUGAGACCCAGAAUCCAUGCUUUUCUUUCCUGGUUACACAUUAGAAUCACCAAUGUGACAUUAAAACACACACACACACACACACACACACACACACUGCACACCCAUUAGGAUGGCUGCUAUCAAAAAAGAAAAAAACAGAAAAAUCAGGGGCCAGACACGCUGGUUCACACCUGUAAUCCCAGCCCUUUGGGAUCACCUGAGGUCGGGAGUUUGACAGCAACCUGGCCAACAUGGUGAAACCUCAUCUGUACCAAAAAAUAAAAUAAAAUAAAAUAAAAACAACACACACACACACACAAUUAGUCGGGCAUGGGGGCACACGUGUAAUCUCAGCUAAUUGAGAGGCUGAGGCACGAGAAUCGCUUUAACCUGGGAGGCGGAGGUUGCAGUGACCGAGAUCACGCCACUGCACUCCAGCCUGGAGACAGAAGGAGACUCGGCCUCAAAACAAAACAAAACAAAAACACCCAGAAAAAUAACGAGUGCUGACAAGGAUGUGGAAAAAUUGUAACUCUUGUGCAUUGAGGGUGGGUAUGAAAAAUAGCACAUCAGCUGUGGAAAACAUACCGUUCCUCAAAAAUUUAGACAUAGAAUUACCAUAUGAUUCAGUAAUCCCACUCACAUCUAUAAAUCUCUAUAUCUGUAUCUUUAUCUACCUAUAUCUAUCUUCAAAAGAAUGGAAAGCAGUUACUCAAAUAGAUACUUGUACACCUGUGUUCUCUCCCCACCCACCCCCCUUUUUUUUUUUUUUUUUAAUAAAUGGGCUCUCACUAUGUUUCCCAGGCUGGAGUGCAGGGGCUGUUUAUAGGCAUGAUCCCCCUGCUGCGGAGCUGUCCACAGGCACGGACCCCUGCUGCAGGGCUGUUCACAGGCACGACCCACUGCUGCGGGGCUGUCCACAGGCACGACCCCCUGCUGAGGGGCUGUCCACAGGCAUGACCCCCUGCUGUGGGGCUGUUUACAGGCACGAUCUCCCUGCUGCGGGGCUGUCCACAGGCACGAUCUCCCUGCUGCGGGGCUGUCCACAGGCAUGACCCCCUGCUGGUCAAACUGGGAGUUGUGCCCUGCUUUGUCUCCAAUCCAUGCCGGUUUGCCCCUCCUUAGGCAACCUGGUAGUCCCUUAUCCCAGGAGGUCACUGUACUAAUGUCUAAUUUCGUGUAGACAUCUGAUCAACACAGCACACUGCAGCUCAGGACUCCUGGGCUCAAGUGAUCUUCCUGCCUCAGAUGCCUGAGUAGCAGGAACUACAGGCGCAUGCCACCACACCUGCCUGCUACACCUGUGUUCAUUGCAGCAUCACAGCAGCCUUAUUUACAGGAACCACAAAGUGGAAACAACCUAAAAAGUCUAUUGAGGGAUAGAUGGAUAAACAAAAUGUGGUAUAGACAUAAAAUGGAAUAUUAGUGAUCUUUGAAAAGGGAAGGAAUUCUGAUGCUUGCUACCACAUAGAUAAAAACAUUAUGCUAAGUGAGACGUCAAACACAGACUACCUGAUUCCAUCUAUAUGAAGAACCUGGAACAGGCAAAUUAAUAGAGACACAAAGUAGAAUAGAGGUUUUCAGGACUGGCAGGAGGUGGAAAUGGGCGAGGUUAGUGUCUAAUGGGCACCGAGUUCCUGUCUGGGAUGAUAGAAUGUUUCGGAAAUGGAUAGUGAUGAUGACUGCACAGCAUUGUGAAUGUAGCUAAUGACGUUGAAUUCUUUACCAGAAAACAAAAACAAAAACAGAAACACAUUGCUUAAGCUUCCAGUCCGACAGGUGACAUGCUUGGUGUGAGCUGGGGCCUAAGCCCAGGCUGCCCUCGCCAGAGCUGCUUCAAGACCCCUCUUGGUUGUACUUAGUCCUGAUUGCUCUGGAGAGCCCCAUACAUGAAAGCCAGCUCUGGUUCUAUCUCUUCUCACUCCAGUCCUCCCUGCCCCCACCAUCCCCCAGCUGGGCAUUAUGAGAAAAGAAAGAUGACUAUGAGUUUUCUGAUUAUUUAUAUGACCAAAUAAUCUCAAGGACUAUUGCUAACUAACCCAUGGGACUCCCACUACCUUCAUGAGGCUCGGUUGAGGUGAAGGGUCCCUAAAAUCAUGCCACCUAGUCAGGAGCUCAGUUGUCAAUAAUUUCUUUAUUUGUGAUACAAGCAGCGGUGGGGAAAGAGAAAUGAACAGACUUGGAAGCUUCUCCGAGGCCCUAGAGAAGACCUCUGGGUUCCGAACACCAGACACCAGGAGUAAGGAGGGUAGUUGAUGACUCCCCACUCUUUCUCCAGCCCCUGCUCCUCUGUUUUUCCCCUUCACCCACUGCAGCUUCCUCAGGUCCUGGGUCCCACGCCAUCAUCUCUUCGAAUGACCUCCCUUCUAUUCCUGUUAAUAAAGGAGCAUCAGCUAAGUGAACAUGGUGAUUUGCAUUCACUUACAUUGAUUCAGAAAUUGUGUUUAAUUCCACACAAGAAAAAGAAUGUGGAUCUGUUUCACUGGGAAAAAAAGUUGCCAUGUAUCAUCAUAAUCAUGUUUUCCUGGGAUAUAAUCUAUACGUGACGCCCAUUUAAGCCUUCAUUGCAUCUGUGCACGUGGUUUGCUUUCCUCUCAUGUGAAAUAGUGUUGGACCACACGGGUUUGGGCCACAGCCCAGGAAGACACAAUCCUGAACGUCAUAAUCCCAAAUGUUGAAGUCCCAUAAGAUCUAAAUCUGUACAGUCUAAAAUCCUGAAAAUUACAAUCCUAAAAAAACAAAAUUCUCAAAAUACAAUUCUGGAAAAAAAUUAUUAACACAUUCUUUAAGAAGAAUUUAUUGGGCAGCACAUGGUGGCUCAUGCCUUUAAUCCCAGCACCUUUGGAGGCCGAGGUGGGUGGAUCACAAAGUCAGGAGAUGGAGACCAUCCUGGCUAACACGGUGAAACCCCAUCUUUACUAAAAGUAGAAAAAAUUAGCCAGGCAUCGUGACGGGUGCCAGUAGUCCCAGCUACUCGGGAGGCUGAGACAGGAGAAUCGCUUGAACCCAGGAGGUGGAAGUUACAGUGAGCUGCAAUCGCACCACUGCACUCCAGCCUAGGCGACAGAGUGAGACUCUGUCUAACAACAACAACAAAAAACAUUUAUUUAUAUUUUUAAGAUGGAAUUUAUUUGAGAAACGUAUAAAAACACAACAGAACCCUUCCUAGGCCACUUUACACAAUCAAUAGGCAAUAAUAACAUGCAUAUAUUUGCAAGCGUAAAACUCAGGUAUGCUAACGAUAGUUUCACGGGUAUAAUGGUAAUGAGCAGAUGAGUUGUAUUUGUAAAGAAAUGGGUCAAAAAGCAAAAUAUAUAAAAGCAUGGUUGGUAACUGGGUGCACUCAGCUUUAUAACUUAGGUCAUCUGGAAUACUGUGACGGACAACCUAAGUCUUUUGACCAGAUUCAUCAAAAGCUGGGAUGUGUCACCAUCUAAUAUUCAGUCAAAGAGCUGAGAUCCUAAGGAAUUUUCUUUUCCCAAAUGCAAAUGUGCAAAAGGAUCUCUUCUCAUUUAUUGAGGAAACUUUAAUGUUUUUAUGUACAUGUACAAUGCUUACACACAAAGUCAGUGUUGUGAUAAUACACUCUUGUGGAGUCAAAUUUGCAAAAAAAAAACUCAUAAAACAAAUUAGAACUCUCUAAAAGUCUUUGCAAAAUUUAUACCUCCAGUAUUGGAAAUGAUACUAAGAUGAAAUACAUAGCGUAGCAAGUUGUAAAAAAUAAUGCUGACAAUUUAAAUUAGUGGAAAAAAUGGAAAAAGAAACACUAAAAAGAAAAUUGACAUAUAAAAAGUAUAUUACAUGGAUAGAUUAUGAGCAAUUGCAGAGUUCAUCAUAGCUGGCUGGCUUUCAUGAUCAUUAACUAUAUUUUGAAGUCUUGCAUCACGAUGAAUUCUUGCCUUUUUUGUUUUUAGGAUUUGACUCUCAUAAAAUACAUUCACAUUCAUUUUCUACAUGGCACUGCUCUUUUUGAAAUUCUUCUAUAAUUUGAUACACACUGACAUGAGCAUUUCCUGUUACAUUUUCCAAUCUUCUAUGCCAUUUUUGUCUAUUGUUUUGAGUAUGUGGAAAUCCAUUUUGCAGGCCCUCAUAUACAGGCCACUCAUUUGGCAGAAACAAUACUCUUGAUUGAACAGCAACACCGUUGCCUAAAUGACUUCUUAUCCUACCUUGCACAUCAUUAUUUUCAAAUCAGCAUGUAAUAUUUCUGGCUUCUUCAGGCAAUUGUGGUUUUAAUUUAUCAAAAGCUCCUGGAAUUUUAUCAGGUGGAAGGAAUGCCAAUACAGACAAAUGACACAUUUUUAAACUAAAAUUUUCAUCAUUGCCAUAUGGCCUGGCCAAUCCACUCACCUGAAUUUUCUGGCAAAUGAGCUGGGCUGAAUGGAAGAUAUAAACUUUACUGGUAACAACUUGCAAUUCACUUUUAGAAGCCUUGAUCACACCUAAUUAAAAACUUGUCAUUAUAACUUGGGGAUCCAAUUGAAAUCUAUUUUCUUCUGCAAAGCCAUCCAAAUCUUCAAAUAAGCUUUUAUAAAGUACUUCACUUUUUCCAGUUAUUAAACCAUAAACAUGCAGUUUAAAUUACAGAAUUUUGUAAUCCAAUGGGGGCAUAAACUGCAAAAAGUUGAUUUAAAAAACCCACUGGGGACAGUUUUGAAAGUGCCGUUCAUCAGCCAAAGUGAAACAUGCACCAGUUUUGUUAUGUUAAACAAAUAUGUUUAUCUUUUUUGACAGUCAAAUCCCUAAUCAAGAAUAGUUCAUGAUUUAAUAUGUCUUGUAGCACUGGAGGAAGCUCUGUGCCAGAAGUUGUCUGGCUCAGAAGGCCACUGAAUUUGUUGAACUAUUUUUAUUACCUGACAAAAGGCAUUUUGUGAAGGCAAGCAUGGUGCUACGUGUAGAGGUGCUUGGUACAUGAUUACAUAAUUUCGCAGACAAGAUUUUGUGCAUUUUUUACUUUCAUUUUAACUUCUUCUGUGAUAUUCAAGACAUUCAAAACAGUGACAGCAGAUCUUCCCCACCUAGUCCGCUCAGACCCACACACUGAUCUCUUCUGAGAAAACCAUCACAGUCAUACCCAAAAUAAUGCUUUCCCAGCUUUCCAGGGAUUCCUUAAUCCAGUCAAGUUGACACCUGAAAUUAAGUCUGCAAGUCCACCCCUUGUAGAUUUGGCACUCAUAUGGACCUCCUUAAACCAUACAUAAUUUCCAAAUAAAAAGAAAACAAAGCAACAGUUGUACCUAACACGAUGCAACUAACGUGGUACAACUCUUCUGUGAUUGUGAUUUUCUGGAUUUUAGAUGUUAAGAAUUUAGACUUUAGGAUUGGGCAUGGUGGCUCAUGCCUGUGUUCCCAGCACUUUGGGAGGCCAAGUCAGGAGGAUCACUUGAGCCCAGGAGUUUGAAAUCAGCCAGGGCAAUAAAGUGAGACCCCAAGAUAUGGUUUGGCUGUGUCUCCAACCAAAUCUUAUCUUGAAUUGUAGUUCCCAUAAUCCUCACAUAUCAUGAUGGGGACCCAGUGAGAGGUAAUUGAAUCAUGGAGGCAGUUACCCCCAUGCUCUUCUCAUGAUAGUGAGUUCUCACAAGAUCUGAUGGUUUUAUAAGGAGCUUUUCCCCCUUUGCUUGCACUUCUCCUUCCUGCCACCUCGUGAAGAAGGUGACUUGCUUCCCCUUCACAUUCUACCAUGCUUGAAAGUUUCCUGAGGCCUCCCCAGCUAUGAUGAACUGUGAGUCAAUUAAACCUCUUUCCUUUAUAAAUUACCCAAGCUUGGUUAUGUCUUUAUUAGCAGCAUGAGAAUGGACUGAUACAGUAAAUUGGUACUGAGGUAGUGGGGCAUUGCGAUAAGGAUAUCUAAAAAUGUGGAAGUGAAUUUGGAACUGGGUAACAGGAAGAGGUUGAACAGUUUGCAGGGUUCGGAAGAAGACAGAAAAAUGUGAGGAAGUUUGGAACUUCCUAGAGACUUGCAGAAUGGUUUUGAGGAAAAUGCUGAUAGUGAUAUGGACAAUGAAGUCCAGGCUGAGGUGGUCUCAUAUGGAGAUGAAGAACUCGUUGGGAACUGGAGUAAAGGUGACUCUUUCCAUGCAAAGAGACUGAUGGCAUUUUGCCCCUGCCCUAGAAAUCUGUGGAACUUUAAACUUGAGAGACAUAGUUUAGGGUAUCUGGCAGAAGAAAUUCCUAAGUAGCAAAGUGUUCAAGAGGAAGCAAAGCAUAAAAGUUUUAAAAAUUUUGCAGCUUGAUGAUGAGAUAGAAAAGGAAAACCCAUUUUCUGGAGAGAAAUUCAAGUCAGCUGCAGAAAUUUGCAUAAGUAAAGAGGAGCUGAAUGUUAAUCACCAAGACAAUGGGAAAAUGUCUUCAGGGCAUGUCAGAGACCUUCAAGGCAACUCAAACCAUCACAGGCCAGGAGGCCUAGGAGGAAAAAAAUGGUUUCAUGGGCCCAGUGCAGGGACUUGCUGCUCUGUGCAGUCUCAGGACUUGGUGCCCUGUGUCCCAAUCAUGGCUAAAGGGCCAAUGUACAGCUCAGGCCAUGGCUUCAAAGGGUAAAGGCCCCAAGCCUUGGCAGCUUACAUGAGGCGUCGGGCCUGUGGGUGCACAGAAGUCAAGAAUUGAGGUUUGGGAACCUACACCUAAAUUUCAGAGGAUGCAUGGAAACGCCUGGGUGUUCAGGCACAAAUUUGUGAUGGGGACGGAGCCCUCAUAGGGAACCUCUGCUAGGGCAGUGACUGCAGAAGGGAAAUGUGGGGUCAGAGCCCCCACACAGUCCCCACUGGGGCACUGCCUAGUGGAGCUGAGAGAAGAGGGCCACCAUCCUCCAGACUCCAGAAUGGUGGACACACUGACAGCUUGCACCGUAUUGCCUGGAAAAGCCACAGACACUCAGCACCAGCCUGUGAAAGCAGCCAGGAGGAGGGCUGUACCCUGCAAAUCAACAGGGGUGGAGCUGCCCAAGGCCAUGAGAGCCCACCUCUUGCUUCAGUGUGACCUGGAUGUGAGACACGAAGUCAAAGGAAACCAUUACAGAGCUUCAAGAUUUGACUGACCCAUUGAAUUUUGGACUUGCAUGGGGCCUGCAGUCCCUUCAUUUUGGCCAAUUUCUCCCAUUUGGAACAGGUGUAUUUACCCAAUGCCUAUAUCCUCAUUGUAUCUAUGAAGUAACUAACUUGAUUUUGAUUUUACAGGCUCAUAGGAAGAAGGGCCUUGCCUUGUCUAAGAUAAGACUUUGGACUUGGACAUUUUGGUUAAUGCUGGAAUGAGCUAAGACUUUGGGGGACUGUUAGAAAGGCAUGAUCAUGUUUUAAAAUGUAAGGACAUGAGAUUUGGAAGGGGCUGGGAGCAGAAUGAUAUGGUUUGGCUGUGUUCCCACCCAAAUCUCACCUUGAAUUGUAGUUUCCAUAAUCCCUACAUGUUGUGGGAGUAACCCAGUUGGAGGUAAUUGAAUCAUGGGGGUGGUUACCCCAUGCUGGUCUCAUGACAGUGAGUGAUACCUGAAGGUUUUAUAAGGGGCUUUUCCCCUUUUGCUCAGCACCUCCUGCUGCCUUGUGAACAAGGUGACUUGAUUCUUGUUUGCAUUCACCAUGAUUCUAAGUUUUCUGAAGCCUUCCCAGCCAUGCUGAACUGUGAGUCAAUUAAAC